ACUGAACGCUGGCGGAAUGCUUUACACAUGCAAGUCGAACGGCAGCACGGGGCAACCUGGUGGCGAGUGGCGAACGGGUGAGUAAUACAUCGGAACGUGCCCAAUCGUGGGGGAUAACGUAGCGAAAGUUACGCUAAUACCGCAUACGAUCUACGGAUGAAAGCGGGGGAUCGCAAGACCUCGCGCGAAUGGAGCGGCCGAUGUCAGAUUAGGUAGUUGGUGGGGUAAAGGCUCACCAAGCCAACGAUCUGUAGCUGGUCUGAGAGGACGACCAGCCACACUGGGACUGAGACACGGCCCAGACUCCUACGGGAGGCAGCAGUGGGGAAUUUUGGACAAUGGGCGCAAGCCUGAUCCAGCCAUUCCACGUGCAGGAUGGAGGCCUUCGGGUUGUAAACUGCUUUUGUACGGAACGAAACGGUUCUCUCUAAUACAGGGGGCUAAUGACGGUACCGUAAGAAUAAGCACCGGCUAACUACGUGCCAGCCGCCGCGGUAAGAC
rnacentral:rRNA from 1 species